UAGGAACGUUUUUCUCACGUGACGGAGAAACCCCGGGUGAACCAAUAAGGAAGCGGAGGCCAGGCCGGCAGCGGGGAGGGGACGGUGCGCGGGAAGGGAACUUUAGGCAGUCGUAGUAGCUGCUGGGACUCAUUAUAUGUCCUAUCCCGUCCCGGUUCGUGUGCAAAACAAGCUCGAUUUUUGUGCUUAUGUACUAUGAAGUGCCUGAUCACCGGGGGCAACGUGAAGGUGCUGGGCAAGGCUGUCCAUUCGCUAUCCCGAAUCGGGGACGAGCUCUAUCUGGAACCCUUGAAGGACGGGCUCUCCCUACGGACUGUGAACUCGUCCCGUUCUGCCUAUGCCUGCUUCCUUUUUGCCCCACUCUUCUUCCAGCAGUACCAGGCGGCUUCCCCUGGUCAGGACCUGCUGCGCUGUAAGAUCCUGAUGAAGGCCUUCCUGUCCGUCUUCCGCUCUCUGGCAAUUGUGGAGAAGUCUGUGGAGAAGUGCUGUAUCUCCCUCAGUGGCAGCCACAGCCACCUGGUGGUCCAGCUCCACUGCAAGUAUGGGGUCAAGAAGACACACAACCUCUCCUUCCAGGACUGUGAGUCCCUGCAGGCUGUCUUCGACCCAGCCUCAUGCCCUCACUUAUUGCGCACCCCAGCACGGGUUCUGGCAGAGGCUGUUCUGUCCUUUCCCCUUGCAUUGACUGAGGUGACACUGGGCAUUGGCCGUGGCCGGCGGGUCAUCCUGCGCAGCUACCAGGAAGAGGAGGCAGACAGCACCAGCAAAGCCAUGGUGACUGAGACCAGCAUUGGGGAUGAGGACUUCCAGCAGCUGCAUGCCCCAGAAGGGAUAGCUGUCACCUUCUGCCUCAAGGAAUUUCGGGGGCUCCUGAGCUUUGCAGAGUCAGCGAAUUUGCCUCUUACUAUCCACUUCGAUGUUCCAGGCCAGUCAUCUUUACUAUUGAGGAUUCCUUGCUGGAUGCCCACUUUGUCUUGGCCACACUCUUAGAGCAAGACUCAUGUUCCCAGGGCCCGUGUUCCCCAAAACCCCACCAGCCAGUGCCUCAGAAGCAGGCACACAGCACACCCCACUUAGAUGACUUUACCAGUGAUGACAUUGACUGUUACAUGAUUGCCAUGGAAACCACUGGAGGCAAUGAGGGCUCCGGGGCACAGCCUUCCACAUCCCUCCCACCUGUCUCCCUGGCCUCCCAUGACCUUGCCCCCACCUCAGAGGAGGAAGCUGAGCCCAGUACAGUGCCUGGGACUCCCCCACCCAAGAAGUUUCGUUCACUGUUCUUUGGCUCCAUCCUGGCCCCUGUACACUCCCCGCAGGGUCCCAACCCUGUGCUGGCUGAAGACAGUGAUGGUGAAGGGUGAAUUUGAGAAAUUAAAGUCUGUGUUCAAAGGCUCACGGACCAGAAGCAGGCCCGCCCACUGAGUUGGGCGUCAGUCCUUAGACAUGGACAUGGAAAUGGAAAAAGGCAUACCCCACUUGGCUGUCUGCUGCAGAGCUGCCUAGGAACCAUGUUUGGUCUGUGUUCUGUAUUUAUUCAGCCUAUACCAAUCAUGUCUCUGGUGCCCACCUGUCACCUGACAGAUCCCUCAUCCUUUACUUUGAGGCUCUAGAAUACAAAUUCUGGCCAAAGCCAGAAACUUAGCUUCCUCAGUCUCCUGCCUCUAAAACAGGAAGAUCAGUAUUGAACACCCUCUGCCAAUCAUGAACUCCCCGCCAGACCCUCCUGUGGGCCAAAGGAACUGUUUCUCUUUCCUAACACUUGGGCCUUGGCCUAGAAUCCUAAUAGCCUCUGGACCUGAUUGUGUGUCACUGGUGUUGCCCUGGCUGGGCCCAUGUUCAGCCACUCAGUCUGCCCUCCCAGGUGGCUUUGUACCAAAGAACUGCUGGCCCACUGUCUGGGACGGGACAAGAGAGACAGAGGCUAUGGUGAGAAUCCAGCUUUGACCUUUAUUCAAGAGACCAGAUGGGUUGCCCCAGGAUCUGGCUGCCAGCCAUGCAAGGCUGGAGACCCACAAUCUGGUCUGCCAUUGCCCUGAGCUGCAGCCUUGGCCCCAGGAUUCCACUUGCAGCCACCACAGGUGCUGGUGGGAGGGAGCCCUGGGAGAUUAGAUGCUGCUAUUGAUUCUUUAAAAAAUAAAGGAAAGACACUUAA